rnacentral:lncRNA from 1 species
CUUUGCUAUUUCACGGUGUCACUACCCUUGUGAGGCUGAUUAUAUCAUUCCUUCAAAUGUCCUCGGGAACAAGAGAACAGAGAGUGUUAGCAUCACCAAAUGGCUUGCCUAUGUCACACACAUCCUUUACACUUUUAAAGCUCUUUUUAAAUCUCUCCACCUGACGAUAUUCAGGUUUCUUCUGGAUGGCCAGAGUAGUCCUUUUAGGAACACCAGGAAAGCGCUCUUCAGAACAUUUGUCCUCGGCUCGGUGAAGCUGUACGGAUGGUGCUGCCUCAGCAGGAAACUACCUUCUUGCAGAAGAACCGCCAAUUAUUUGUAGUGAAACUAAAACAGAGGAAUAAAUAUUGCAUGCUGAUGGAUGCUUGUCAGGAAAGAAAGUGAGGUACUCUCAAUGGGGCUUGUCAGACACAAAAACCUUCAGCACAUCUGCAUCUUCAAUGGCAAAGUGGCUAGAAUUCUCCAGCUGCCUCACUGGUGAACCUCAAGAUUUCUCUCAUAAAUUUAAAUUAUAGAUGACAUAGCACUGGAAUGGAAAUAGAUGACACCUUUAAAAAUAAAUCUAGUGCAACAUUUGGGAAAAGGAAUCACACAUUUAAAAGGGAAAAAAGAAAGUUCCGAUGUGCCAAAACAGAGCUUUUAUUUGUUGUCCUAUUUACUAUUCUAUGUCUAAAAUUAGCAUCUCUCUUACUUUUCCUCUUUAGUCCCCUGUACACGAUGCACUGUAGAGGAGUCUUGGAAGUUUUGUGCAACUCAAGGAGUAAGCUGCGUUGCAACUAUAACAAAAAGCUUGCCAAGCUCCCUGAAAUUGAAGAGUCAAACACAUUCUCACCCAGUGAUCAGCUGUGGUUUCUAAGUGACACUCUGCAUGUGGAGCUCAGAGAAACCUAACACCUACAGGGAUGUGUUGAAGAAACCAGAUAGCAAGGCCGCCAAGCGACUCCAUCUCUGUUUCCAUUCCCUGGGGUUUAUCAACUUUGUUAAUGGGGCAUAUGUGCUGAGAAUUAUAUAACAUUAAACAUGGGGAACAUUUCCUGGGGAAAAAAACAUUCCAUUCUUUCUCAACACAUGGUAAGUAUAGUGUCCAGGUAAAACACCACCCUCUAGUGUGCAUCUCUAGAUAGUACUGUCAUGACUCUUCUGAUGACAAUGAUUUGAUAGCAGAGAAUAUUAUGCCAAGAAUUAAGAUGCAGGUCAUUUUUUUCUAAUAUGCAUAACAAAGCUCAUGCAAAAAAGAAGUGCAUAAUGAGCGAUCCAUUUCUCUGGCAUAGGUAAAAUACCUGUUGAUUAUUCUUAAAAAUGAAACAAACUUUGCCCAAGUUUAAAGAAUCCAAAACUGUCUUGAAAAUGAUGAAUUUUACCUUUAUGAAUGGAGUUCAAGGUACGUGAGACACAUUGUUCUAUGAGAAGACAAUGAUCAUUAUCACUUGAGGCAUGAAAUGCAAAAAAGUGUUCCAGGAGGGCAGCAUCCUAGGAGAAGAAUCUAUUAUGGCUGUGCUUUAAAGAAAUAGCAUAAAUUACUGGGAUCAAGGUGGCAUUCAAAUGUGAAAUAUAUUACACUAACAAUGCACCAACAGAAACACAAAAUUGUUUUGGAGAAAUCCUCAAAUUAUCAAGUGUAAAUAUUCAUCCAAAAAAGAACCAUAACUGGUCAUAGUCUAGGUAGAAGCUUGGCUUUAGUUACAUUGUCUGAUUUCAUGUAAAUCAAAGGACUAAUGAUUUGAUAGUAGAGAAUAGCAGUCCUUAUGAAUCCGAUAGCAAUAAAGAAUAACAGGAUACACUUGUGCCUUGUUAUAUAAGGAAAUUUCCACUGCAGUGCUUAAAAGCUGUCUAUUCCUUGGCAAGAAGACUGUUGGAAAGUGUUGUGAAGUUUUUUGACAUUGUGCUUUUUUUUCUUUGUAGGGAGCUAAGUUAACUCAUUGGUUGAAAAUAACUCUGUAACUUCUUUCCACACUGAUUAAUAUCUCAAGAAAUGCUCUUAAAUUAAAAAAUUAUAUUCUGCCUAAACAAUUUAAUGUGGAAUUGGCAUGCUUCACAACGAAGUGAAGCAUUUCAGAGUCAUAAAUUCUCUCCCGUAGAACAUGGAGUUUAUCAAAUUCACAUACAUGUUUCAAUAUAAUAUCCACAAAAUGCCUUAUUGAGAGUCUUUGUUUGGAAUCAGAGAACACUUAGGAUCUCAAUCUAAGGAAAACAUCAGUAGAAUCUUUUAACUAUAUCACAGAGUUAUUUAGACUUUUGCUACAAACACUUUCUUGCAUACCGUAGCUCUGAUGUAUCUACCUCAGCACAUUUUUAAAGUAGUUGGAACGAAUUUAAUACCCAUGGGUUUGUUCAUGUGUACACCGUGUCCAUAUUUUCAUGUGUUCAUGGGAUGGACAUUGGUCAAACACAAGGCACUCAGGUAGGAAAUAUCCCUCUAUAAAUAGUAUUAUGGUCCCAGAAAUUUCCCUCUUUUACAAUGGGAAAAUAAAUAAAAUUAAUGCUUUUGCUCUGCUUCUAAUUACGUGAGUUGAAAAACUAACUUUUCUUCGCAGACUUUGGCUUCCCAAUUCCUCUAAUAUAUAGUAUGAUUGUUUACAACAGUCCCUUCAAACUGUAAGAGUCUAUAGUUUGUAAGACUGUAGUUUGAGCCAGGCAUGGUGGUGCAUGCCUGUAAUCCUAGCAAUUGGGAGGCUGAGGCAGGAAGAUCACCAGGAGUUCAAGGCCAGCAUGGAUUAUAUUUUCUAUAGUAAAUUGAAGGCAGCCUAAACUCCUUAUGAAGCCCUGUCUCAAAAACAAACAAAGACUCUGUAGUUUGGCUCAUUAAUUAGUAUUAAAAUAUAAGGUGUUAUUGACAUCUAGUUAUCCCCCAAAUGCUUCAUGUAUUCAGGUGUUGGGCUUUUGGAAGGUGAUUAGAUCAUAAUAGUGGUAGAUUUACCAGUGUUUUAAUCCACUGAAAAAUCCACAGCUAAGUGUGCUGUUAGGGAGAGGGUGCCUGGUUAGCAGUGGGUCACUGGGGUCAGCCUGAAAGGAUGUCCCUCCCGCCCCAGUUCCACCUUGCUCUGGGCUUCCUGACUCCCAGGAGCAGCUUUCCUGCAUCAGACCUUUUCACCAUGCCCUUCCUGCCUGGGAUCCAACUGACUGUGGACUGAAUGGAUAAGCCCAAAUAAACCUUUCUUCCUCUAAUUUGUGGAUGUGAAUUGUGUCUCAGAGCCUGCACAGUGACUAAUGUUACAUUAGUACUUAGAGUAACAUGGG